UCCCGCACCCACCCGCGCCUCCUCUCCCCGCAACUCCCGUCCCCCACGGUCGCCCCAAAUCUCGCGAUUAUCCCGGAAAAAAAAAACUCGCCAUUCUCGCUCCUCCCGUCGCCAGGUCGCCACCGCCGCCGAAGCCGCGCCGCCCAUUCUCGCUCCUCCCGUCGUCAGAUCACCGCCAGGCCGCACCUCCACUCUUCCUCGCUUCGCCCCUCGUCUCCUCCGCCGCACCCUCCCCUCCUCUCCGGCUCCCUCCCCCUCGCCUCCUCCGUCACCGCCCUCCCCUCCUCCUCCCCCUCCGGCUCCCCUCCCCUUCCGGCCUCCUCCCCUCGCGCUCGUCGCCGGCGAGGCGGCCCAAAUCCCUUCUCCCUUCGCGGGCGAGGUGUUCGACGGACUCCUCCUCCUCCUCCCUUCUGCGCGGCCUCCUCGCGUCACGCGCGCCCACGCACGGCCAGCGACGAGCAGGCUUGGAGGGCGCGACGCGGUGCCCGGCCUCCGCCCCUCCCGCCUCUGCCCUCCGUCUCAGUUCGAGUCGAAUCGAAGGGCGAGGCUGAUCGAUUGAUGCAUGGGCGAGGCGGAUCGGUGGAGGUGUGCUUCCAGGGACGAAGGGUGCGUGCCGCUAGCGACAGACGUCUGGACGCCCUGCCGAUCGAUCUGGAGGUGGGGUUCCCUGGUAGGCGAGGAGGGCUUCGUCUCGUAAGCGCGGGAUGUUCAUGAGGAGCAGCAGCUCAUCAGAUUGAUGAUUAGUGGUCAGCGUCACUGGGAUUUAGGCUUUGAAGAAAGAUCUCCUAAGGCAUAUCAAGGUGACUAUAUAAACUGCAUCUGUUGAUCCGCGAUCUGUAACUGCAUUUGCCGUCAAGACUCUGAAACUGCAUCUGUUGCCAAGAUACUCUGUGCCUUGCCCUGGCACGGGAUAAUCCUUCACGUGGCACAGACUACACCACCGGCAACCUCGUCCAUGGCGCACUCACCUCCCUAAGACUAUUUACUAAACAGCACCGUCAACCUCUUCUCAAGGUGAUAGAUGUUUCCUUGAGUUAUGACGUUUCUAGAUAAUGUAGUUGUGCCAUAUGAAGCCGUGCACUGUGACCGUUUUGUUGGUUGAUAGAAAAGUAAAAUGAUUGGAUUUGGGGUGAAAUGGAUCUGGAUGAUUGAAUAAAGUGUUUCCGUGUGAUGCCAAUUGUCAAAUUCACUUCUAUUUUCCAGUGCAAAUUUUAGAUUUUUCAACCAUUAGUCCUCUUCUUUUCAUGCCGUAUCAGAGAAAGCAUAUGCUGUCCCGGGGAAAGAUGAAAUGGAAAUAUUGUGGUCUACUGUUCAGUUAGGAUAAAAAUAUGGUGGUCUACUGUUUAGUUUGAAAAAAAAUGUUAUUCUCAUAAUUUAUUAUUGAAACCUAAUGAUAUUAUGUAUUGUACAAAAAGUUGAUUCUGAGAUCUACUGUUUGAAUUAUUAUUGGUCAUUCUGAAUAUUGGAGUAGAUCUUCUGAAUUCCAAGAGGGAUCUUUGUUCCUCUGAUUUUCUUUGUACUUGUACUUUGCAAGAGCUAACCUAUGAUCUAUUACUGGGUUCAUACUGAAUUUAUAUUUUCGUUUGUAUCUUCAAAAAUGUUCAGAAGUGUUGCUAUACAGAUUCUUCCUUUGUAUCUAUUGUGGGGUUCAUACUGAAUUUACAUUUCCUGUUGCACACGCAUGGCCAUUUUCAAUUGUUCAAAUCCUAUUAAGAGCCCUGCCAGAAAAUAAAAACACUAUCAGGAAGGUACAACCAUGCAUUUUUGGAACUAAGAGUUCGCAUGAUUUGGUUUUUCUCUUUCCAGGUGCUUUCUCACUUCCAAUCUUUCAUAGAAUGACAGCCAAAUUGUAGAUUAGUAUUAUUGAGAAAUGUCAUAGGAAAUAGACCAUUUCACCCAUCAUAUCAUUUUAUUCUUGGUUUCAAUAGUAAGGCUGGCCCAAUCAUAUCAUUUUAUUGUUGAUUUCAUGUUAACAAGCUAACCCAAUUAACCACUGAUCAAUACUCCCUCCAUACUCAUAAAGGAAGUCAUUUAGGACAAUGUUUAAGUCAAACCUUGGGAAUAUAAAUCAUGAAUAACUCUCAAGUUGUUGAGUUUGAAAAUGUAAAAAUUAUAUGUAUAGAUUUGUCUUGAAAAAUACUUUCAUAAAAGUAUACAUAUAUCACUUUUCAAUAAAUAUUUUUAUAGAUUUAAGAAGUCAAAGUUGUGUUUUGGUGACCGUGUCGCUGUCCUAAACGACUUCCUUUACGAGUAUGGAGGGAGUAUUUUUUUUUUGGAAGAUAAACUUCAUUUAGUAAUGCCAUGAAUUGGAGAAGGAUGAGAAAACAAAUUACUAGACAAGAUUCAGUGGUGUAUUUUGGGAUGAAAUGUUUUAGGCUCAUAUAGUUUUCUAUUUGCAUUGCUCUUCUCUACCCUCAAGUAAAUAACUGAAAAUAGAUGUCUUAGCUUCUUUUCAAUUCUCAGAAAUUUCGCUAAUUUGAACAAGUUUAGCAGAUUGCCAUGCGUAACCCUGCCAAUCAGAGCUCUCCUGUGCCCAUAUCCUGUUGUUUCCAGUCGACAUCCUUGGUUCAUGCCUCAAUUGAAGGUUAUGGAGACAGAAACGGGUGACUUUUGUUAACUAAAUUUGCACGAUCUCUUAACAAUUUGUAGUACGGGGAAGAAAAAUUUCUGAAGUGUGUCACAAGUGCUAAACACUAGGAUGGUUAUUUACCUACAGGGUAGUAUAUUAUAUAUAUGUAUUAAAUGCUCUAUUUUGUGUCCGCAACAAAUAAUGGAACAACUCUAUACUUUUUUAACAUAUUUUUUAAGCGUAUAUUGCCCUCGUAUAUUGUAUACUGAAGUAUAUUGUAUACUGAAAUUAUUAUAUAUAACUAAUUAUUGUAAAGAUU